AGUGAGAAAACACAAGUUUAUAUUCAUAGAAGAAAGCAAACGAACACAAGUUCAUCUUCACAAAAAAUGACUACUAGAAGAGUCGUGGAUCUUAGCUUUGUCUUUGGAAUUGUGUGUAUUGUUUUCCUUUUAACUCCAGGAUCCGCGAAAAUAGUUUGCUCGAAGAGCGGAAAUUGUCCCGAUAAUAAAGUUUGUUACAAUUUAUGUGUAUUUUUUGGUUUUAAAGAUUAUGGCGGUAAAUGCGUUGUUGAAUCUGGGCAAAAUCUAUGUUGCUGCGUAGAUUUAAAGGAUGGUGGCUUUGGCCAUGCUACUCCUUAGAUAUUUUCGAUAUCAGUGUUUUGCCACCAAAUGGGUCCUUAGUGAUAAGAGCCGCAAAAAUAAAAUAAACGAAUGAUAAGAUUAUUUUUGUAA